rnacentral:rRNA from 1 species
UGAGUAAUGCUUAGGAAUCUGCCUAUUAGUGGGGGACAACAUUCCGAAAGGAAUGCUAAUACCGCAUACGCCCUACGGGGGAAAGCAGGGGAUCUUCGGACCUUGCGCUAAUAGAUGAGCCUAAGUCAGAUUAGCUAGUUGGUGGGGUAAAGGCCUACCAAGGCGACGAUCUGUAGCGGGUCUGAGAGGAUGAUCCGCCACACUGGGACUGAGACACGGCCCAGACUCCUACGGGAGGCAGCAGUGGGGAAUAUUGGACAAUGGGCGAAAGCCUGAUCCAGCCAUGCCGCGUGUGUGAAGAAGGCCUUUUGGUUGUAAAGCACUUUAAGCGAGGAGGAGGCUACUUGGAUUAAUACUCUAGGAUAGUGGACGUUACUCGCAGAAUAAGCACCGGCUAACUCUGUGCCAGCAGCCGCGGUAAUACAGAGGGUGCGAGCGUUAAUCGGAUUUACUGGGCGUAAAGCGUGCGUAGGCGGCUUUUUAAGUCGGAUGUGAAAUCCCUGAGCUUAACUUAGGAAUUGCAUUCGAUACUGGGAAGCUAGAGUAUGGGAGAGGAUGGUAGAAUUCCAGGUGUAGCGGUGAAAUGCGUAGAGAUCUGGAGGAAUACCGAUGGCGAAGGCAGCCAUCUG